UACGUAGGGUGCGAGCGUUGUCCGGAAUUACUGGGCGUAAAGAGCUCGUAGGUGGUUUGUCGCGUUGUUCGUGAAAACUCACAGCUUAACUGUGGGCGUGCGGGCGAUACGGGCAGACUGGAGUACUGCAGGGGAGACUGGAAUUCCUGGUGUAGUGGUGGAAUGCGUAGAGAUCCGGAGGAACACCAGCGGCGAAGGCGGCAUCCUGGACUGGUCCUGACACUCAAGAGCGAAAGCGUGGGGAGCGAUCCGG
rnacentral:rRNA from 1 species